CAGGGAAUCUUCCGCAAUGGACGAAAGUCUGACGGAGCAACGCCGCGUGAGUGAUGAAGGCUUUCGGGUCGUAAAACUCUGUUGUUAGGGAAGAACAAGUGCUAGUUGAAUAAGCUGGCACCUUGACGGUACCUAACCAGAAAGCCACGGCUAACUACGUGCCAGCAGCCGCGGUAAUACGUAGGUGGCAAGCGUUAUCCGGAAUUAUUGGGCGUAAAGCGCGCGCAGGUGGUUUCUUAAGUCUGAUGUGAAAGCCCACGGCUCAACCGUGGAGGGUCAUUGGAAACUGGGAGACUUGAGUGCAGAAGAGGAAAGUGAUUCCAUGUGUAGCGGUGAAAUGCGUAGAGAUAUGGAGGAACACCAGUGGCGAAGGCGACUUUCUGGUCUGUAACUGACACUGAGGCGCGAAAGCGUGGGGAGCAAAACAGGAUUAGAUACCCUGGUAGUCCACGCCGUAAACGAUGAGUGCUAAGUGUUAGAGGGUUUCCGCCCUUUAGUGCUGAAGUUAACGCAUUAAGCACUCCGCCUGGGGAGUACGGCCGCAAGGCUGAAACUCAAAGGAUUGACGGGGUCAUAGCUGUUUCCUG
rnacentral:rRNA from 1 species